GAGACAGAAGGGUUUGCGCCUCAAGCUGCAGCACCGUUCACGGGGAAAGGAGGUAGGGCGGCCCGGAAAACAAACAAGCUGCUCGCACGAAAGAGACGGUGUAGGAGACACACAAACAUUCCUAAUUCCUUGCCUUGGCUGGAUAACAGGGCUGCAAAAGCAGCCUAAGACACCUAGAUUUUCUUCACUGGCCCCUCUCUUUAAAGAUAGCCCAGUAUGAGAAGAAAACGAGAACCUUCCGCUAAAUUGCACAGGGUGCCCAGGACACUGCCAGUGGAA